UCGGGUUUGCGAGUUCUCAGGUGUACCCAACUGCGUCGCGUCCUACUGACGGUAGCAGCUGAAUGUUCGUUCUGCUUGAUGGGUGGUUUGCUGGCUUCGCUGCUGUGUGCUUCAGUGAUGCCAGUUCAUGUUCAUUCUAUCUUGAAGCCUGUAUCUAAAAUAUCUAAACGUGACUGAAUGCUACGUUUCUGCUACUGAAGCUGCCUGUAGAUAUCCGUGAUAAAACAUGAUAAACCCUUGUUCAUGAUAUUCGUGUUGUUCGGUAUGUUUGUCGGAAUUGCAAAAUGGAUUCAGGCUGUGUUUAGAUCCAAACUUUGGAUCCAAAUGCAGUCAAUGAAGGAAGUGA
rnacentral:lncRNA from 1 species